rnacentral:SRP_RNA from 1 species
UGUCGGUCCCCUCGCAACGAUCAGCCGUGAACCCGGUCAGGCCCGGAAGGGAGCAGCCGUAGCGGUGACAUCGUGUGCCGGGGUGUGGCUGGCGGGG